rnacentral:lncRNA from 1 species
UGGGAACUCAACAUCAGAUUAAAACUAAGUAUUUAUUCCAUGAUACAGAUAGAUAUGCAUAUUCUUAGACAAGCUUUUGGAUCAGUUGCCAUUGGUCUCUUGAUCAUGCCAGACGUCAGAUAUUGGACUUGAUUUUGAUUUUUUUACACAAAUCUACAUCUGAAUUAAAGAUGACAAAAUAAUUCUGUUUAUCAUUGAAACUAUUAAUUUGUGGCUUACAGGCAGAAGAUUCUUGAGUAUAGAGAAGCUAGAUCACUCAUGGAAGGACCGACAGUCAAAUGAGCUCUCACAGAGAUGAACAGAUUCCUAUGACUUCUUAUGCUCUCCUGUUGGUUACUGUCAAGUUCAAGUGUCUCUUCUAUGAUGCAGUUUCAUCAAAGAACAGAAAAAAUAGCCAUGGAGACUUUCAGCGCUUCCUCCACUUCCCUUAAGAUUCAAAACCCAAGAUCAACCUGACUCUGUAGAUUAUAUCCUACAUUAAAAUGAUUUUAGAAUUUUAGAAUAUAUAAUGAUUUACUCUGCCACAGGUUUUAUAGUGAGUUUGCAAGGCCUCAGGCCUGAGGCUUGUUAGGCUUUCUCUGUCCGAGCUUUUCUUUACCUACCUGCAGGUUUGUUUUACUUGGUUUAGCUGUAACAGUAAUUCUUCUAACUGACCAGGUGGCUAUAGCUAACUUUGCCUUUGUUUCUCUAUGCAUGGUACCACCAGGGUUUUCCAGCUCUUCACAUACCAGCGUAGGGAGUGGAGCAGAAAAACAAAGGUCUUGUGCCAUUGCAGAGGCC